GCCGGGCAUGGUGGCUCAUGCCUGUAAUCCCAGCAUUUUGGGAGGCCGAGGUGGGUGGAUCAUCUGAGGUCAGGAGUUUGAGACCAGCCUGGCCAACAUGGUGAAACCCCAUCUCUA
ensembl:misc_RNA Metazoa_SRP Metazoan signal recognition particle RNA